UACGUAGGGUGCAAGCGUUGUCCGGAAUUAUUGGGCGUAAAGAGCUCGUAGGCGGUUUGUCGCGUCUGCCGUGAAAGUCCGGGGCUCAACUCCGGAUCUGCGGUGGGUACGGGCAGACUAGAGUGAUGUAGGGGGAGACUGGAAUUCCUGGUGUAGCGGUGAAAUGCGUAGAUAUCAGGAGGAACACCGGUGGUGUAGACGGCUCUCUGGACCGUAACUGACGCUGAGACACGAAAGCGUGGGGAGCGAACAGG
rnacentral:rRNA from 1 species